CCUACGGGUGGCAGCAGUGAGGAAUAUUGGUCAAUGGACGAGAGUCUGAACCAGCCAAGUAGCGUGAAGGAUGACUGCCCUAUGGGUUGUAAACUUCUUUUAUAUGGGAAUAAAAUGUUCCACGUGUGGGAUUUUGUAUGUACCAUAUGAAUAAGGAUCGGCUAACUCCGUGCCAGCAGCCGCGGUAAUACGGAGGAUCCGAGCGUUAUCCGGAUUUAUUGGGUUUAAAGGGAGCGUAGGUGGAUUGUUAAGGCAGUUGUGAAAGUUUGCGGCUCAACCGUAAAAUUGCAGUUGAAACUGGCAGUCUUGAGGACAGUAGAGGUGGGCGGAAUUCGUGGUGUAGCGGUGAAAUGCUUAGAUAUCACGAAGAACUCCGAUUGCGAAGGCAGUUCACUGGACUGCAACUGACACUGAGGCUCGAAAGUGUGGGUAUCAAACAGGAUUAGAUACCCCAGUAGUC
rnacentral:rRNA from 1 species